rnacentral:RNase_P_RNA from 1 species
AUGGUCCGGCAAACGGUCGCGGCUCAGCGACGUGAGUCGAGGAAAGUCCGGACACCGUAGGGCAGGAUGGUGGGUAACGCCCACUCGGGGUAACCCGCAGGCUAGUGCAACAGAAAGUAAACCGCCCCUGUUGGGUAAGGGUGAAACGGUGGUGUAAGAGACCACCAGCGUUGCUGGUGACAGCAACGGCUUGGUAAACCCCAUCCGGUGCAAAACCAAGUAGGGUGCCAACUUGUGGCCCGCGAGACGCACCCGGGUUGGUUGCUAGAGUCCUGCAGCAAUGCAGUCUGACCUAGAUGGAUGACCGUUACCGUGGGCUUGGCAACGAGCCCACGGCACAGGAUCCGGCUUAUCGCCGGUCCAUCCCA